CAUGGUAAUACACGGGGCCGCUGAGGCGCUCUCCGUGACAGAUGGCUGGUAGGUUGCAUGUCAUCGUGUAGUGUGAUUCUCCGGGAUACUUAUCCUUUCAGAAUCAUAUACAAUCAUCAAUACAAGUUGAUUCUAUCUGGAAAAUUAUGCAGUUUGAGGCCUCACCUUUCUGAGCAUAGUGUUGGGCAGCUUGCGGAUCUUCUCCACAUGUUCUGCGCUGAUGUCCAGCUCGCGGCAGCACACACGGAGGAGGGCACGGAAAAGCGCUGGUGAAAAAGAAGGGCUGGAAGGCCGGCAUGGAGCCACCGAGCUGAGAGCAGUUGAUCUGCUGCGGG